CUACUAGCCACACCCUUCGUGAUCAACCACGUGAUCCUUGAGGGCGCGCUCACGAUAUGCUGCCCUUCACCAUUUUUUGACAAAAUUGUAGUAUCUCACGAAAUUUCAGUGAUUCACAGGGAUGGUGAACCAGGGGGAGCGAUACCUCACGUUUGGAGUGAAACGGUGUCGCAUUUCAUUUACUCCCUGUCGCGACUGUGGUAGCAAGUGAAAGACACUGGCGUGAAAGGACAGAUCAUGGGGUCGGCCUUGAUUUAAAUCGUAUCACAUCGCUUGGGCCUGCGCCUCUGUCAUCAAACAAAAGCUGGUUGUUGACUAACAACAGAAGGAGCACUAUGGCACUGCACAAUUACUGCAGACUUGGAGGACUGCCGGAUGCCUGCAGUCGUGUUGCCUGUGAUAUGGAAGACUUUCCUGAGUUGCCUAAACUUGCAGAUAUCUUCAAGAAUUGUGACGUUCCUGGCCUAGAAGAAACCUGCUAUGUGCUGUUUGUGUUGCUUAUUAUUCCCGUAUCAGCUGGAGUUUUCUUCGCCGUGUGGACUGUGCAGCGGGGUCGGGCCAAGUCAUAUCCAAAUGCCAACCCGGCCAGCCAUUCUCAGCCCUCCACGUCGUCGCUGGCCCCACUGCCAAAUAAUGGUGUGCCCCCCGCGUCCUCAGCAGGAGGCCUCGAAUUGCAAGCCCGCGGUGAGGGCUCCAAACCCGUCGCAGUUUGACUGCGUCCCGGACUGCCUCCCGGAUCAAAGUUUCUCGAGCCACCAAACACAACCGGCAGUUUGGUGUGCAUUACCACGCUCUGGUUGAGGGUCUCAGACCAGCCUGCUUCGGCUGUCUCUUUUUUCACGCUCUACCUGCACUGGCCUGAUUUUGGGCACACCGUCACACUUUUGCACUAUCGGGGAUCACGCUGUCUGUGCCUGCAAACUAAUGACCACUGUGGGUGCCUCACACACAUUUGAAAUGAAAUAGGGAAAGAGGUUGAACUGGCAACUUCUGACCACGCUUCCAGUUUUCACAGUGGCAAUGUAAAGGAGACUCUGACUCUUAAGCAGGGGCAGCCGCUACUUCUGUUCCAGUGUGUAAUCCCUGUGCAAACAUAAUGCCUAGGCUCUGGUAGUAUCUCUGUGUACUUGCGGUUCCCACAAGGUUCCUUCAAUGGUAUUCAAGCACAUUCUACAAAACAGUUCGAGCACAAGUAGACAAUUUUAGUUCCUAGAAGUUUUCUACGCUUGUCAGCAAACAGUGCCAGCAGGUACUGACAUCACCUGACCAUUCAGAAUAAUAUGUACCAGUAUGUCUGCGAAGAUGUGAGAUUAAAAGUACUUAAAUUACAAAAUACGUGUGAAUCGGGCAGUGCUAUAUAUAUAUAUAUGUAAUUACAGGCCACUGUGGAACGUACAAAAUGUAGAACCAAUUUAUUUUUCUUUAGUAUCUGACACCAAGUGUGCAGCUGAAUCUUGUCAGCAGUAUGUGAAAAGAGCAUCAGUUGGUUUUAAAAAGAGGGCGAGGUAAUUGAGCGUCUGUACCAGUGUUAUAGCUAUGCCUGUCGGCGCCGGUCAGGGAUCUCCACCAUUGCAGUCUACCGUCCAGCACUAAGAUUGAUGAAACAGCCCCCUGACCGGCACAAAAUUUCUUUAAAAUCCCUGCAAUAACAUCAGUCACUAUGAAAAUUUCAUGUUUUACCUGAAAGAAUUAAAAUGUGAACUCUUAAGCAAUUUGGAAAAAGUGAUCUAGAGUCCCCUAAGGUGGGCCCCUGGACCCCGGGCUGUGAUUUGCGAGACUGCAAUCGUUUCGCUACCCUCUGUUCGCCAUUACUUAAAUUGUCCUGCACCAAUAUAUGGCUGGCUAUAAGACUGGUCUGAACAAAACAUUUUUUUUUUAAGGAAGAAAAAGAACCAAUUUUAAUAAAAACCAUUAUUUUUCUAUGAAUAUUCUCUUUAAACCUAACCUCUUCAACCAAUUCUCUUUUUUUGGGGGGGGGGCUUCCCAAAUCUGGCAAGAUACAGUGAAUAAUUUAGCUUAGUCACACUUUAAACCUCCAAAACAACAAAAGAAAACCCACCAUAAAAUGAUGAGGAAAUGAAGCCCCAGGUGAAAAUUAACAGCCGAGUCAGACAGUACGUAUCAGCAGGCACAUUGAGGUGGUUUUAUUUCUAAUUAAAGAUCCUAAGUACCAUUAUCUUCACAAAAAGGCAACGUAGCCUGUCCCUUUGUAAACUAGAGGUGUAUCCUUUUUCUAUCAGCAUAUGUAUUCAUAUGUUCAUGUACAAUUCAGACACUGGAACCUCUGUAUUAUGAUUUACAGGUAUAAAUGUAACCUUAACUUCAAUCCUGAGCCCCUCCCCCCACCCAUCAGUCUACCCCCAUUCUAACCCUAUUUCUUGCCCUAAAAUCCUCCGUUUUCUUAACUUCACAUACAUGUAGUCUAAUUGCAUCUGUGUAUUGAGUAUUCACAGUGCUGGAACAGAAUCUCGCCACACUUGUUAAUUCCAAAUUGAAGGCUUCACUGCACGUGGUUGGCAUUUGCAUGUUCUUUCGCCCACACUGACAUUUGAGAGUACAACAGCCAACACAAGCACAUAAACAUCAUAAUUAUUCACGGUGGAAACCGAGGCAUAUGAUACGUCUAUGGCCUCGCCCCACACUGCUGUGUAUACAUUCAGUGAAAUGUUCCUGUGUACAUAAAAACAGAAGAUGCCGAGUUACUGCACGUUAGAUUCACGUGCAGUUAUUUUCUGAGUAUCAAGUUCCGUGUUCUAAAUUAUUAUAAAUUGAUAUAUAACAUUUGUAUGUUGCUCAUACCGUUUUCAUUCUACCUAGUAUUAAUGUUAACCCUAACACUCCUCAAUCCUUCACCUGUUGGAGGACUGAGGAGUGUUAGGGUUAAUUAUGUUCAUUGGCGGCGUGCUUCUUCAGAGCAAAAUGCAGUUUCCUGUUUCUUCAUUCUCUUCAACAAUCAAGCGCAUCCAUACCGUAUGUCUUGCUUGUUUUGCAUUUUGUUGCUUUGUGACUUGAGCAUUCCAUUUCCAUGCUUAAACUCCCCCGUGAAAACCCUGUCGGCUUUACAUUGAAAGUACGAGAUCGCACCAUGGAUUUAUGUCGAUAUCCCUGCAUAAUUCACUCAUAGUAUUUAAUACUAAUGUGUAACUUGUGUAUGCUACAAAAAUAGUCUAAUAAUACAGUAUAUAGAAUAGAAUCCAAGAGAGUUACCACAGAAAGACCUGUACUUGCUUUGCAUUAUGGGAAAAUUAUCAACAUACACACUGUAACAUGUAUUUCAUUUGCACAAAUCCUGUUUUGUGUUUUUACUAAUGUCUGGAUGUCCAUGAUCUAAGUUUGCUUUUAUUAGAAUAAUGACAGGCUCAUUUCCAGAGGCUUACAAAUGCACCUGUUGCUGCGUUACUGAUCCAUGAUCCAUGUCAAAACGUAAUUCUGUCUGCAGUGAGCUUCUUACGGGUCGUAAUAGCUGUAAAACUCCCAUGAAAAUCUGAACAGUGGAGUUCCACUAUUUUAGGGUUAUGAAGUUACCUACUUCAGCCUGCUUUUGGGAUGGCAGGUCCCAUAUUUUUUAUAGCCAUUGUUCAUGCUUAGAGAGCAUUUGGUUAAUACGUGAUCAUAAAAAAGCAUGGCUUGGAUAUCACAGUUGAAUAAAAAUGUGGAAGUAAGCUGGAAGAAAUAGAGUUAGCUGCAACAAA